rnacentral:tRNA from 1 species
GGUGGCUCAGUGGUAGAGUGCUUGCUUUGCGUGCAUGGGGCCCUGGGUUCAAUUCCUCAGCACCA